GGUAAAAUGACUGAGAGAUAAGUGGUGGAUUGUAGCCCCAUGAACAGAGGUUUAAGUCCUCUUUUUACCA
rnacentral:tRNA from 3 species